rnacentral:misc_RNA from 1 species
GUGCAGAGCUCUGCAGCUGCCGCCCACGCCACCAAUGGUUGAAGCUCACUCCCCUCUAUUUAUACCCCUUCUCCUCCUCUGCUCCCUGGCCGAUUCCUUGCUCCCCUCGGAGUCCAGCAGCGAGAGCAGGUGCCCUUAUCCCCAGGCGCAGAGCUUCUCCCUGCCCUACGUCUUCCAUGGCCGUCGGCCCCUGCGAGCUUGCUGCUCCACGCGUCCUCAACCAUGGCGCGACGUCUCUGCGCUCUCCUAUCCAUGGCGCCUAGCUCCUUGGGCCAACCGAGCUCCUCCGUCCCAUGGCGCUCGCCUCCCCCACGGCCCCCUACUGCUGCUCCUUCAAGUCCGGUCAGUCUUCCUGCUGUGCGUGCACAUUCCAGAGGAAGAAGAAGACCCCCUGGUGCCUAUGACAAGUGGGUCCGAGGCGAGAUGACCGAGAGAUGGUGAUCAUGCAAGUGAUGUGGUGCCAACCACAAGAUGCAGAUGGUGGACGACCCAAGGAAGGAUGAACUUAACUAGUGGAUGCUCGCCAAGCGAGUACCUCCCCCAGCAAACACUACCUAAGUGUUAAAAUAAAGGACCGAGAGAUGGUGAUCAUGCAAGUGAUGUGGUGCCAACCACAAGAUGCAGAUGGUGGACGACCCAAGGAAGGAUGAACUUAACUAGUGGAUGCUCGCCAAGCGAGUACCUCCCCCAGCAAACACUACCUAAGUGUUAAAAUAAAGGUACAUCCUUGUUCUUGUUGAUGGUGUGACUUGGCCUUCAUCCCUGCCACCGGGAUAGACGGUCGAGAGGGUUAUUGCUUCCGCAGGAGAGGACCAGGAGGAGUAGCGUGGCCAGGCUUCGCCAUGUUACUCGGUUUUCUCCGUUAGUUAUUUCCGCUGCAUUAAAAUUUAUGGUUAUCAUUUCUGAAACUCCGAUAAUGUAAUCACUA